CCCCUCCCCUUUCCCCAAUUUCCCCCCCCCCCCACGUUGCUUCAUCGCCUCCGCAUCCCUCCGGUACCAGGGACCGGUGACAUCCCCCCGCCCCCCAAAACGUGCCAGCACCGGGACGAGCCUGGACCACUGGGACAAGAUGCAGGAGAGCUACGAGAGCGUCAUCUCCCUGGCUGAGGAAAUCGCCAUCAGUUGGCCACGGAUCACCGCCUUUGCCGAAUCACACCGAAGGAGGGGGUUGGUGUCCGGUAAGUCACCAAUUGUGCUGCUGGUUGGUGCCGGUGAUGACCAGGAGCAUGUUUUGGAAGCCCCAAAACCA
rnacentral:lncRNA from 1 species